AAAACAUGUCCUUUAGUAUUUAUUAAUUUAAGGUCUGACCUGCCCAGUGAAUAUUUUAAAUGGCCGCAGUAUUCUGACUGUGCGAAGGUAGCAUAAUCAUUUGUCUCUUAAUUGGAGGCUAGUAUGAAUGGUUGGACGAGGAGUUGACUUUCUUUAUUUAAUUUUUAUGAAUUUGAUUUUUUAGUUAAAAAGCUUAAAUUUUUUUGCAAGACGAGAAGACCCUAUAGAAUUUUAUUAUUUGUAUUUAAUUUGUUUUUUGGUUAAUUAUAAACAUUUUUUAUUUAAAUAAUUUUGUUGGGGCGACAAUGAAAAUUGCUUAACUUUCAUUUUUAUUUUUCAUAAAUUAAUGUAUUUUUUGAUCCUAAAUUUUGGAUUAUAAGAUUAAAUUACCUUAGGGAUAACAGCGUAAUUUCUUUGGAGAGUUCAUAUCGAUAAAGGAGUUUGCGACCUCGAUGUUGGAUUAAAGUUAGUUUUUGGUGCAGAAGCUAAGAACUAA
rnacentral:rRNA from 1 species